UCAACCACUACGGCUCCUUGUACAAAUGGACAAAGAUUUAAAACUUUGAUUGCUUGCUUUGGUUUUAUAAACAUCACUUUCUACACCAUAUAGGUAAUUUCAUGGCAGUCAGUUUUAGUGGCGUACUAAACCGUAGUACUUGAAGGAAAACGCCAAACUGCGGGAGGAAACUGACUAACCUUAUCACAUAUGACAUGAAAAUCAAACCUUAAUUUUACAACUGCCCAACUAAGGCUCAAACCAAUACCUAGAGGCUAGUAAUCAUACAUGUAAGGUGUGACGAACUACCAUACAAAGACGCCUACUGCCCCUGAUAAGUUUUGAGGAUAAAGGAUCUGUACCAAAUUAGGAUAGCAAAAUA
rnacentral:lncRNA from 1 species